UUGCUGAGGUAGUCAAUUUCUUGUAGAAAAUGCAAUCCCUUUUCCUGUUGGAUGAGCUUUCUGCAAUUGACAUGGAGUGGUACUGUGUGAGAGCUCCCCCUUCUGGCCUCCUGGCUCCAUUUUAAUGAGAUUUCCCUUUAUUUUUCACACUAUUCAGCAGUAAAAAGGAACAAGCUGUGGAUCCAUGCAACAACUUAGACGGGUCUCAAAUGUAUUAUGCUGGGUGAGAAAAAAAGCCAACAUCAAAAAGUCACAUACUAUAUAAUUCCAUUUCUAUAACUGUCUUGAAAUGACAAAAUGAUGGAAAUCAGUGGUUGCCAGGGGAUAGGAAUGGGGGUGGGGAGGUAAGGUGUGACUACAAAGGAGUAGUGGAGGGAAGUCUUUGUAGUGAUGGAAUAGUUCUGAAUCUUGAUCAUAGGUAGUGACUCGAAUCUACAUGGGACAAAAUGACAUGCAGCUAUAUAUUUGGCAUUGUUUUAUCCUACCCUUGUGUAAUAUAUAAGCAUUGGAGGAAACAGUGAAGGGUACACAGAACCUUUCUGCACUCUCUUUAAAAUCUCUGAAUUUUGAGUUAAGUUAAAAAAUGAAAAAUGAAAAAUGUUGAUUUAAAUAAAAAUACUAAGUAAAAAAAAAUUGACAGUAUACAGGUCUGGCAAAAAUUGACAUAAUAAAUUGGAAUUCCUGUUGUGGCACAGAUGGUUAAGGAUCCAGCGUUGCUGCAGCUGUGGCUCAGAUUUGAUCCCUGGCCCAGGAACUUCCAUAUACUGUGGGUGCAACCAAAAAAAAAAUUGAUGUAAUAAAUGACUGAGCCUCUCUAAUCCAUCCAAAGUACAAUUGCCCCCACCAAGUCCUGCCCUUGGCCAGGCCACCUGCAGGAAGCUGGAGCUUUGGACCCUUCCUCCCACUCAGCAUUGGAGUGGGUUGCUAGAUGAAUACAGAAUGACAGUGAGGGAGUUCGGGUCAUGGCUUGGCGGUAACAAACCUGACUAGUAUCCAUGAGGAUGCGGGUUUGAUUCCUGGCCUUGCUCAGUGGGUUAAAGAUCCAGUGUGGCCAUGAGCUGUGGUGUGUAGGUCGUGGAUGUGGCUCAGACCUAGCACUGCUGUGGCUGUGGUGUAGGCCAGUGGCUGCAGCUCUGAUUGGACCCAUGGCCUGGGAACCUCCAUAUGCUAUGGGUGUGGCCCUUAAAAAAAUCAGAAUUACACUGAAAUAUAGAUUCAUCACAAACAGAAUUUUUUUUAGUAUAAAUAUGUCCCAUGCAUUAUUUGGAACAUACUGAAAUAAAAAAAAUAUUCUGAAGUUCCCUGGUGACAUAGCACUUUAGGGAUCCAGUGUUGUCAUUGUUGCAGCUUGGGUUCAGUCCCUGGUCUGGGAACUUUCACAUGCUGUGAGCAUGGCUCAAAAAACAAAAAAGAAAAAUAUUUUUCUGAAUCCUUUUUUUUUUUUUGCUGUUUAGGGCCACACCCAUGUCAUAUGGAAAUUCCCAGGCUAGGGGUCUUAAAUUCUUUGAUGUAUUUAAUGUAGGUAUUUUUAAAGCCCUUGUCAGCUAAUUCUGCUGUCUCAGCCAUUUAUGGGUAUGCUUGUGUUGACUGGUUUUUCUCUUAACUUUAGGAUUCCUUUUCUUGCUGCUUCACAUGUCUAGUAAAUAUUUUUUGAUGUGCUGGACAUUGUGAACAUAUGUUGUAGAGAUUUGGGUGGUGUUAUUUUACUCUAAAUGGUGUUGAAUUUUGUUCUGGCCAGCAAUUAAAUUACUAAUGGAUUAAUUUGAUUGUGUAUGUCAAGGCUUGGCCUUAGGUUUUACUAGGGUAUGUCUUUCCAUUUUGUCAUUAUUCCUAGGGAAUCUUCCUUACUCCCAAAGCAUAGCCUUCACGGCUCUCAGUCAGUUUCUGGGAAUGUCCUUCCUGAUACUUUGGGAAAGCAGUGAUAUGCUCUCCACCUAAUUUACUGUAGUAAAUUUCAUGUCCAGGCUUAAAGCAGCUAUUCCAGCAGCAUGUUAGAGCUCUAGGUGUCAUUGCAGGACAUUAAAUUCUGAGCACAGGGAGUUCCCUUCUGUGGCUCAGCAGUUAAUGAACCCGACGCAGGUUUGAUCCCUGGCCUCGCUCACUGGGUUAAGGAUCUGGCAUUGCCAUGAGCUGUGGUGUAGGUUGCAGACUCGGCUUGGAUCCUGUAUUGCUGUGGCUGUGGUGUAGGCUAGCAGCUGUAGCUCCAAUGGACACCUAGCCUGGGAACUUCCAUAUGCCACAGAUGUGGCCCUAAAAAGACAUAAAAAGACAGGAGUUUUCAUCGUGGCCCAGCGGAAACAAAUCUGACUAGGAACCAUGAGGUUGUGGGUUUGAUCCCUGGCCUUGCUCAGUGGGUUAACUAUCCAGUAUUGCCAUGAGCUGUGGUGUAGGUUGCAGACAUGGCUCAGAUCUGGUGUUGAUGUGGCUGCAGCCGCAGCUGUAGCUCCAAUUCGACCCCUAACCUAGGAAUCUCUAUAUGCCAAGGGUGCAGCCCUGAAAAAAAAAAAGGCAAAUAAAUAAAUAAAUAAAUUCUGAGCACAGAAGAGUGCGCCCAGGUGAAUAAGUUCUCAUGUAUAGACCCUGACACCUAUGGUCAAUUAAUCUUUGACAAAGGAGGCGAGAGCAUAAAAUGGGAAAAAGAAAGUCUAUUCAGCAAGAAUUGCUUGGAAACCUGGACAGCUGCAUGCAAAGCAAUGAAACUAGAACACACCCUCACACCAUGCACAAAAAUAAACUCCAAAUGGCUGAAAGACUUAAAUAUAAGACAGGACACCAUCAAACUCCUAGAAGAGAACAUAGGCAAAACAUUCUCUGACAUCAACAUCAUGGAUAUUUUCUCAGGUAAUUCUCCCAAGGCAACAGAAAUAAGAGCAAAAAUAGGAGUUCCCGUCAUGGCGCAGUGGUUAACGAAUCCGACUGGGAACCAUGAGGUUGCGGGUUCGAUCCCUGCCCUUGCUCAGUGGGUUAACUAUCCGGCGUUGCCGUGAGCUGUCGUGUAGGUCGCAGACGCGGCUCGGAUCCCGCGUUGCUGUGACUCUGGCGUAGGCUGGUGUCAACAGCUCCGAUUAGACCCCUAGCCUGGGAACCUCCAUAUGCCGCAGGAGCGGCCCAACAAAUG
rnacentral:lncRNA from 1 species